CAGGAUCUCUGAGGAUUAGACUUGCUUCCCACAGAAAACAUUAGAUCUCAUCAGAUUGGCAUCUUGUGACUUUAGAGGCCAGGAAAAAUCAUUAGAAUUCAUCUCUGACUUAAAUGUGAUGUGGAGAGAAGGUCCAACUUUGCUGUGAGGAAACGUAAUGAAAGCUACCACCUACCAGGUAUGCAAAUGGGUUGCUUACCCCAUUACUUUAAGUAAAUGGAGGCUGGACCACAUGACUUUGAGUUUCCUGGUCUGUUUCCUCAUAGCUUCUGCAAUAAAGAAAAG